ensembl:ncRNA lncRNA:CR44100 long non-coding RNA:CR44100
AAAAUAAAUAAAUGUUCUGGUGGACGUAGAUUCUGGGGACGUUGCGGGCCCACCCAACCGACCUGGAGGCUUUUUAGCAGCAUCAUCCCUUAUUGCCUUUGAAAUCACUCUUGUUCGUCGACUCUUUGUAGGAAAGGUCAAACCGGUAAGAGUGCUAAAAACACCGCAGAAGAAGUGCCCUGCAAGGGACGGAACUUACACUAAAGCUGACGCACAGAUCUCGUAAUGCUGAAAAGAUCGAAGGGUUCAGACGAGACGUGCAAAAUCGUAAGGAUACGCUCUACUUUCCCUAAACGACUUAAAAAACAUUUGAUGUUGACAAAGAACAGUAG